AGUGCAGGUUUGGAGGGGUCGCGGUGGCGGAGACAGGGGCACCUCUUUGCGCGUCGCUGAGACCGAGCUGAGAUUGGGAAUCUCUUGGUAGCACUUGUUAUUCCUAACCCAUGAUGUUAGGAACUUUUGCACAUUGUUGGAUUUAUCUGAAAAUGAUUAGUCUUGCAAAGUCUAGACAAAGGUAAAGAAUUGGUGAUAUUUUUUCAGAUGUCUUUGGACCCUGUAAUGAUUUGGCACUUGUUUUUGUUAAUAAGGGGGUAUUUACAGGGUGUUGUGGAUUUGUAGUAAACUAUUCUAGAUCUCUUAUUAGCAAACACUAAAUUUUCAAGUCUUGCUUUUACAUGUUUAUUAGCACAUAGAAGCCCCUGUACUUUUGUGCAUAAAGCCACCUUAUUUGCUUUACUUAAGGAUAACAUGCCAAUUUUGUGUUCACUAACUUUAGUACAGCUAUCAGUUAAACACUGCAGAAAAAUAUUCACUAUACAACUAGAGAAUAGGCUUCCAAAGGUAGUUACAAGUGUGUUAACAGUGUGAUUUCAUAUAUUUCCCAAAUAAAUGAAGUUACAGAACGCUGCUUAGUAAACUCAAGUGCUGAUAUUAAAUGUUUAGUGAACUAUUUUGUUACUUGGUGAAUGUUGUAUACUUGGGAAUACCAUUGUGUCAUGGUAAUCUUUUUCUGUAUUUUGCUUGGUAGACAACAAGAGAAUCAUGAUAUGCUAACAGUAUAUUGUUUUGAAAGUGAACUUUUUUCUUUUUUGCAGUUGAGCUACUGCUUUAGGGGAUAUUAAACAUUUACUGUCCUGCUUGCUCUUAACUCUUCCUUCCCUCUGAAGGUCAGAAAAUUCAGAUGAGAAAGGAAGCCACUUUCCCUCUUGUUUAAAUGAGAGGAAAAUGUUAUCAAGCACUAGAAACAAACUGACUAGAUGCCUACAGAUCUUCCAGUACAGUAGUCUCUUUUAAUAUCAGAGAACUGUGACUGUUGAAUUAUGGUCUUUGUUAAUCUCUUGUGGUAGAAAAUCCUAUUUACCUAGUUUGUUUAUCAUUAUGUGUUGAGUCACUUGACUUUAAAAGUCAUAGGAUAUUUAAAAAAUAAAACAAAACAUAUGGAAUAUAAUUAGUUUUGUACUAGUUAUAUAGUUUAUUUUCUGUUUUCAACUCCUAAACUCAGCUAUCAUCAGGCUCAUUUAAGUCUUUUGAGCUUAAAAAUAUGUAACACUUCAUAGUCAUUCCUGGUGCCUGAGCCUAUGUAAAAUGGGUAACUCAGGAUACUUAUUUAUAAUUCUACAAAUAAUAUGAUAUUCACUGUUCAGUUUGCAAAGAGCCUGAUCCCAAAUGAGCCCUCAGUGUGAAUCUAUUUUUCUGAUUUGUAACUCAGAAUUGCUUCUGAGUAGUAUUUCACAGGACAUCCAAUUGUUGUAAUUGCCGGCCAGUUGCAGAAUGAGGUCAAAACUUCAAUAGAUGACUUUUUUUUCUUCCUGUCAGCUCUAGUGCUUUGGACAACUUGAAGAGUAUUUCUUUCGGUGUGGUAAGUAUGCUGAAUUCUACUUAGAUGUAGACAAAAUUCAGACCUUUCAAGCUGUUUUGUGUUGUGACAAGUUACUGGUAAAAUGUCAAGUUAAAAAAUUGAGAUGUGGAAGACUGCUUUAUAUAUUAAGAAGUGAUUACAUUGAAGAAAUCUUGAAGAUUACUGUUUGGCAUGAUUUAACAACAGAACAGUGAAUGUGUUGUCACUUCAAUACUUGGCUUUGAAUAAAAGUUUGACUAAACUUGAAAAUUGAA